rnacentral:rRNA from 1 species
GACGUAGGGCGCAAGCGUUGUCCGGAUUUAUUGGGCGUAAAGAGCUCGUAGGCGGCCUGUCGCGUCGACCGUGAAAACCCGCAGCUCGACUGCGGGCUUGCGGUCGAUACGGGCAGGCUGGAGUUCGGUAGGGGAGACUGGAAUUCCUGGUGUAGCGGUGAAAUGCGCAGAUAUCAGGAGGAACACCGGUGGCGAAGGCGGGUCUCUGGGCCGAUACUGACGCUGAGGAGCGAAAGCGUGGGGAGCGAACAGG